rnacentral:lncRNA from 1 species
AGAGCUGCCAUGUUCCUUCUAUGUAGACUGGUGCAGGGCGUGAGGCUCUGUCACAGCUCCUGCCUCUGGUGGCCUUGUCUGCUGGCUCACCUUGUUGGUGUGGGCAGCCGCUGGGUCACUGCUCCUCCAGUCCCGACUGGAGCCUCUUUCAGCUUCUUUAGGAUACCGACUUCCUUGAAUUUGGAGACUUUUGAUUCCAAUCUGUCCUUUGGUUCCAGCUUCGUGCUCGUGGCUUCCAGUUUGUCUUUGCUGUCCCCCAUCUUCACUUCCAGAUUACCUGCCCUACACACUUCAGGCUGCAGGACCAGCAGUACAUAGACUGUUUAACCAGCUCCCCAAAUUAUUUAGUGACUAUAAGUCCCUAUUUUACAUUGCUCCUAGUGGUGCUGUUUCUUCUCUGAUUGAACCCUAACAGAUACACUGGAACAGAGAGAGGACACUCCAUCUAAGAACAGACAAUGGACAAGCCAAGAGGGAUCCAGGAACUAAGCCUGAAGGAGAAAAAAAACGUGCUGGAGACUCAAGAUGUUCUGGCUGAGAAAACCAGGGGCUGUUAGGGUGACGCACUCUUCAGGGGAAGAAAGAUCAACCAAACUGUGGUGACUUUUUGUGCCAUCCUCAACGCAGGGUCACACAAGCACCAUCAAUUUCAAGGAUGGAUGUUAACAAGCCUGCCUGGUCUGAGCUCAGCCCCUCCACUUACCAGCUGGGGGACCUUGAGCAAGUCACUUACUGGGUCUUUGCUUCAGUUCACUCAUACGUAAAAUGGAGAUGAAAUUGUACCUACCUCAUUGGUUGCUGGGAGAGUUACAAGAGUUAAUACUGUAAAUAUCUGUAAAGGAUUAUCCUCGGCACAUAGUACUAAGUUUCUUCUGUUUACUUGUAGGAAACAUUCGUAUUUACAGCUUUCUCUUCCUUCAUCCCCUGUUUUGACCUUGGUCAAAAGCCACCAAGUUCAGACAGCGCAAAAACAAUUGUCGAGGACAACAAGAAGGGCAGGUGGUUCAUCCCAAUCACCUAGAAGGUUUUAGACCUCUCUCAAACUUUCUCCACUGAUGAGGAGGAACCACAGAAACCACGUGGAAAACACUUCGAGUAUUUUGAAUGACUAUUUUCUCAAUUCUCCCAGGAUGCUACGUAACUAAUGACUAUUUUCUCAAUUCUCCCAGGAUGCUACGUAACUAGUCCCAUGCUGGAUACAUAGGAGCGAAGUUGAAAUUCAUUACAUACAUAUGUCUUAGGACAACAAGAUUGGAUUCUGUCAGAAAAGAGUCUAUUUACUUAAGAAUAGCACAAUGUAUAUCAUAAUAAACUCCUGUAAACACAUCACUCAUCUUCAACAGCUAGCAACAAUUUGUCAAUUUUGUUUCAUCUUUUCCUUGAGACAUCAUGAAUGUCACCCAUAAAUACAUGAAUAUACAUCUCUUCCUGGAAAGACCUUUUAAAACAUCAUCAUUAUUCCAUUAUUGCACCUCACAAAAAAUAAUAAAUUCCUAACAUCUAAAACAGUAAACUAAUGUCAAUAGGAUUUGCAAUAAAUUAAUAACAUGAGAUACUCAAAUCAUAUUCAAAUUUCCUUAUUCUCCCAAAAAUGGUUUUUUAGAGGUUUUUUAUGUGGCCGGCUUAGCCACAAAUAAAGGCAAAGAAUCUGGUUAUGACACACAUGAUGUCUGUCCUCCUCUUCCUCGCUUUAUUCAUUCAACAAAUAUCUAUUGAUUGCCUACGGUGUGCCUGGCCCUGAAUAAGGGCUUUUAUUAAAAGCCUCAGGUCCUGUCCUUGAGAACUGAUAUGUCACCUGCUCGCUUCCCUGGCUUGGACCUGCACUCCCACCCCCAGUUUUCAUUUUUUUUCCCUAAGAACUUUCUUUAGGAGUUAGUUCAGCCCAAACCGGAAACUCCAGGUACCAGAUUGUUAAAUCUCAGGGUCUUUAGACAACUUCUAGUACAAUGUUUCUCAAACUGAUUUCUCCAACUGUAUUCUUGAGUUACGAAUAUAGUGAACACAUUCACUAUUAAGAAUAUAUCUAUAUAGAAUAGAGCUAAGAGUAUUCUGGCUGGGAAAACACUGCCUCAAGAAAUGAAAGACAAUCUAUAAAACUUUCAGUUGUGUAUUGUUACUAAAAUAUAUGAGUUUUAUCUUUAUAACUGAUAAAAUAAUUCUACCAAAAUAAAAUCAUAAAUGUGGAGUGAUUGUUUCAUUUUGACAUUAGGUGCAAUAUUUCUUAAAAUGAGGUCUGCAGCUCCUGGAGGGGAGGGGAGACGUUCUAUGGACAUAUUUGGGGGAGACCAUGUAUCCUCCAUUUUGAGAAACCAACAUAGGGUAAUGGAUCCCAAAUGUGACUUUACGUUAGAGUCUUCUGAGGAUUUCUCUAAAAAUACAGAUGCCAGGGCUCCAUUCCAGGCCUCCUAAAUUAGAAUUUCCACAAGUGAGGCCAAGGAAUCUGAAUUUUAACAUGCUCUUCAAGUGAUUCUGAUUGGCUAGUUUGAGAAAUCAUUGGUCAAGGAGUUCCUUUACUUUUCUCCAUCAGUGAACGUUAAAUCUGUUCUACAAUUUCCUGACAAAUACUCAUGCAGUAUUAGCUUGACUCCCCAGCGAGCGGCAGC